CUUGAUGGUGGCUGUGCGCAUGGCACCUUCGGGUGCGCCGGGUUGGGGUUUGACCGGUCUGCUAACUUGCGCAUAGCCGCCACCCUA
rnacentral:antisense_RNA from 2 species